GCAGACUUUUUGAGCGUGCCAUUAGGUGUAGCCUUUUGAUACUAACAGAUAAGUAGAUUCAGCACUGUGCUACUACACUGCUUUUGACUACUGGGGAAAGGGUACAAUGGUAACUGUUUCAUCAGCCACUCCAAAUGCACCAACUGUGUUUCCUCUGAUGCAAUGUGGUUCUGGGACUGGAAACACGGUCACUCUUGGUUGCCUUGCCACCGGCUUCACACCCUCCUCACUGACCUACUCAUGGAGCAUAGUAAAUGGGGCUGCCUUGACAGACUUCAUUCAGUACCCUCCAGUACUGAAAGACAACCUUUAUACUGGAAUAAGUCAAGUCCAAGUGAGCAAACAGGACUGGGACGCCCUGAAAUCCUUCAGAUGUGAUGUCACACAUACAGCGGGAAAUCAACAUGUUAUUAUCGGGCCAGGGAAGCUCAAUGGUAAAAAUAUGUAUCAGUUGCCAACUCUUAAGGUAUUGACCUCCUCCUCUGGUGAGGGCACCGAGACUACCCUCUCCUGCUUUGCCAAAGAUUUUUCACCAAAAGAUUUUGAGUUCAAAUGGCUGAAAAAUGAAGCACAAAUCACCACUGGAAUAACCAACAUCAAAACACCUUUUGAUGAAAAAAAGACAGAGAAUGGAACACUGUACAGUGCAGCAAGUUUUCUGACAGUGCCAUCACGUGAGUGGACUGACACCAAUACGUUUACAUGUCAGUUUAUGGGGAAAGGUGAACAAGGUCCAACGUAUGUGAAUUCAUCUGUGACCUACAAAAUUCCUAAACUUGUUGAUGGACCUGAAUGCGUGGAAGCAGAUGUGGAAGUAACCAUCAUAGAACCAACAAUGGAGGACUUUGUUUUAAACUUAAAGGGAGAUGUAAAAUGUCAAGUCAAGAUAAACAAACCAUCUGUCCAAAAGAUUUUCUGGGAGACCCAUGAUGGAAAAGACAUACCUGAUGCUGUUCCAGUGAAGCCCCCUGCAGGACAUAAAGAUACAUACGUCGCUUUACUUCCCAUCACAUUUGACGAAUGGAGACAGGGGGCAAAGUUCACCUGCAUUGUUGAACAUGAAGACUGGGUAGAGCCACGUAAGGAAAUCUACAAAAAGGAAUUUGGAGGACCGCCUCAGCGUCCUUCAGUUUUUAUGCUACCUCCAGUAGAACAUAUUAAAACAGAAACCGUGACCCUGACUUGCUUUGUGAAAGACUUCUUCCCUCGGGAAGUUUAUGUCUCCUGGCUUGUCGAUGACGAGGAAGCAGACUCAAAAUACAAGUUCCAUACCACAACGCCUGUAGAAAAUGAUGGAUCAUAUUCUGCCUAUGGCCAGUUAACCCUCACCCUCCAGCAGUGGAAAAAUGAUGACACUGUGUUCAGCUGUGCAGUUCACCAUGAAUCUGUGGUCAACACAACUAGAGCUAUUGUCAGGUCCAUCGGGCACAGAACAUUUGAAAAAACCAACAUGGUCAACCUCAACAUGAACAUCCCUGAAACGUGCAAGGCCCAGUAGAUGUUAUUCUGUGUCGCUGUGUCUUCUGCUGUUUGUUGUUUAAUGUUUGUUGCUUGUGAUAUGACACUGUGUUUGUCUUUUUAAUGCAGAUUCAAAAUCAAAAUAAAAAAAGGACUUUGCAA